rnacentral:sRNA from 1 species
AUUCCCAGGUCAAGGGCACAUUCAAAGCUUAUCUGCCUACUAGAAUCUCUAAACAAGGUCUCAAGGUUCAUUUAUAGAAGCAUGUAAAGUGAGC